UCGUGGAGUGAUUUGUCUGCUUAAUUGCGUUUCGCAAGAGACAAAAAACGUUCAGUUUGUAUUGUUUGUUUGUUGUUUGCAUUUUUAUGCAUCAUCAACAUCAAUCAUUCUGACAAAAAAUGUUUCGAAGGCAACGAACGUGACCGCAUCCCAUUGUUGCCUCUCCGUUGUAGAUGCUUUAAAACCAUUUGCAACGCUAACAUUGAAUGUCAUUAUCGUUCAUUUACG
rnacentral:rRNA from 1 species